UACGUAGGGUGCGAGCGUUGUCCGGAAUUAUUGGGCGUAAAGAGCUUGUAGGCGGUUUGUCGCGUCUGCUGUGAAAAUCCGGGGCUCAACCCCGGACUUGCAGUGGGUACGGGCAGACUAGAGUGUGGUAGGGGAGACUGGAAUUCCUGGUGUAGCGGUGAAAUGCGCAGAUAUCAGGAGGAACACCGAUGGCGAAGGCAGGUCUCUGGGCCACUACUGACGCUGAGACACGAAAGCCAGGGGAGCAAACGGG
rnacentral:rRNA from 1 species